rnacentral:rRNA from 1 species
AUGCAAGUCGAACGGUAACAUUUCUAGCUUGCUAGAAGAUGACGAGUGGCGGACGGGUGAGUAAUGCUUGGGAACUUGCCUUUGCGAGGGGGAUAACAGUUGGAAACGACUGCUAAUACCGCAUAAUGUCUUCGGACCAAACGGGGCUUCGGCUCCGGCGCAAAGAGAGGCCCAAGUGAGAUUAGCUAGUUGGUAAGGUAACGGCUUACCAAGGCGACGAUCUCUAGCUGUUCUGAGAGGAAGAUCAGCCACACUGAGACUGAGACACGGCCCAGACUCCUACGGGAGGCAGCAGUGGGGAAUAUUGCACAAUGGGGGAAACCCUGAUGCAGCCAUGCCGCGUGUGUGAAGAAGGCCUUCGGGUUGUAAAGCACUUUCAGUUGUGAGGAAAAGUUAGUAGUUAAUACCUGCUAGCCGUGACGUUAACAACAGAAGAAGCACCGGCUAACUCCGUGCCAGCAGCCGCGGUAAUACG